rnacentral:rRNA from 1 species
GCCAGACUCCUACGGGAGGCAGCAGUGGGGGAUAUUGCACAAUGGGGGAAACCCUGAUGCAGCGACGCCGCGUGAGUGAAGAAGUAUUUCGGUAUGUAAAGCUCUCUCAGCAGGGAAGAAAAAAGACGGUACCUGACUAAGAAGCCCCGGCUAACUACGUGCCAGCAGCCGCGGUAAUACGUAGGGGGCAAGCGUUAUCCGGAUUUACUGGGUGUAAAGGGAGCGUAGACGGCAAUACAAGUCGGAAGUGAAAUACCCGGGCUCAACCUGGGAACUGCUUUGGAAACUGUAUGGCUGGAGUGCUGGAGAGGUAAGCGGAAUUCCUAGUGUAGCGGUGAAAUGCGUAGAUAUUAGGAGGAACGCCAGUGGCGAAGGCGGCUUACUGGACAGUAACUGACGUUGAGGCUCGAAAGCGUGGGGAGCAAACAGGAUUAGAUACCCGUGUAAAG